GUCACGCCCCGACACCCGCCUAUUUGGUCAGAUUCGGGCACGCCGACAGACCGCCGAACAGACAGAGUUUCUCCUGUACGUCCUAGGCGUCGCAAUCAAUACAAUUCACGAUGUUCCAACCAGGAACAGAAAUCAACAUACAGAUUGCAUAUGGAAAGGUAUCAACAACAUAAACACAUCCUAUGUUAUUACAAGCAUUCACAUUGAUACAUUUGCUUACAUCACAAUUACACUUUCUCUCCAACAUACAAUCUGAGUUAUUACAAUUUAUUACACAUUUGAUACAUCUAGUUCUUUCAUUUCCCUCUACCCCUAGGCUAUGCCGACUCGGGGUACCACUAUCUCUGGUCUCUGGGUAGGGCGCUAUCUACGGAGCUACGCCCUUGCCUCGCGCCGCUGCGCCGCUCACGUGCAAACCUGUAACACUCCAAAACAACGUGGGGUGAGAACCAACUCCAUGGUUCCCAGUGGGUACGACCACCCAAGGAAAAAGCUCGACCAAUAGGUCCAAGGAGGCACUGCAACAAGUUAGUCCAAUAACAUAUAACAGAUAUAUAUUCGAUAUUGAACUAAAUGUCAUGCCUCGCGAAAUGCAAUAUGCAAUACCUAUAACUUUAUGCAAGUAGAAUAA
rnacentral:lncRNA from 1 species